AAAGCAGGGACAUGUACUUCGGUAUCGAUUAGUGACUUUAAAAAGUGAUAAAACACUCUGAUUCUUAGAGAUUUAAAACAAGGAUUGCUCAUACACUAUUGUCUCAAUGUUUCCCUCCAGCCUUUCCGACAAGUCUACCAGCUUGAUGUCUAUCCCUUUGCUGCUUGGUACUAUCCUCAAGUCCAGUAUUUAUCUUUCCCACCCUUCUUCGACAAUAUUCAGCCCAUUGUCUCUGAGAACAUUGAAAACACUGAUGUUAUGCCAGAAUGGUUGAACUAAGACAGUUCUCAGGAGUUUCAUUAUGUAACUAGAUGUGACUGCAACUUCCUUCUUAGAAUUUCUUUGCCUGAUCAUCAUGUGAAAUAAUUCCAAAGAUUUGACUACAAUUUUAGAAUAGGAAAACGCCCGUGGAGGGCAAAAUUUCUUCUUUCAUCUACUGUAUAUUAAAUAUCAUGGCACCCUUUCCUUGGGCUGAAAUUUCCUAGAUAGCUAUUGUCUAAAUUUUAGUCAUGUCAUGCAGAUAGGGAAGGUAUUAAAGCCUUUACUAAGUUUCUAUAUAGGAAAUAUUGUUUUGAAAGGCUUUGAAUUGCUUUUACUGUAAAUUCCAUCAUUUCAAAUAACUGUGUGCCCUUACUGAGGUCUUCUCUUUCUUCUUUUCAUUUGUUUUUUGGUUUUUUGGUACCGGGGAUUCAACUUGGGUCCUUGCGCUUGCGAGGCAGGAGGUGGAACCACUGAGCUAAAUACCCGGCCCUAAAACAGAUAAACUAGUUUUGGGGGUUUUUUUUUUUGGUACCGGGGAUCAAACUCAGGACCUUGUGUUUGCGAGGCAGGUGCUGGAACCACUGAGCUAAGUCCCCGGCCCCUCUUUCUUCUUAUCAAUAAAUUACAUUUUAAGGCACAGUCCUUGUUUUCUGGUUAUUCCAUUUAACAAUGUUUACAUAAUCCUGUUAAGAGUCUAUGUAUA
rnacentral:lncRNA from 1 species